rnacentral:rRNA from 1 species
GAUGAACGCUGGCGGCGUGCCUAAUACAUGCAAGUCGAGCGGAUGAAAGAGGAGCUUGCUCCUCUAGAUUCAGCGGCGGACGGGUGAGUAACACGUGGGCAACCUGCCCUGUAGAUUGGGAUAACUCCGGGAAACCGGGGCUAAUACCGAAUAAUCCUUCGGACCUCAUGGUCCGAUGUUGAAAGACGGUUUCGGCUGUCACUACAGGAUGGGCCCGCGGCGCAUUAGCUAGUUGGUGAGGUGACGGCUCACCAAGGCCACGAUGCGUAGCCGACCUGGGAGGGUGAUCGGCCACACUGGGACUGAGACACGGCCCAGACUCCUACGGGAGGCAGCAGUAGGGAAUCUUCCACAAUGGACGAAAGUCUGAUGGAGCAACGCCGCGUGAGUGAAGAAGGUUCUCGGAUCGUAAAACUCUGUUGUGAGGGAAGAACAAGUACCGGAGUAACUGCCGGUGCCUUGACGGUACCUCAUUAGAAAGCCACGGCUAACUACGUGCCAGCAGCCGCAGUAA